rnacentral:rRNA from 4 species
AUCUUCGGACCUUGCGCUAAUAGAUGAGCCUAAGUCAGAUUAGCUAGUUGGUGGGGUAAAGGCCUACCAAGGCGACGAUCUGUAGCGGGUCUGAGAGGAUGAUCCGCCACACUGGGACUGAGACACGGCCCAGACUCCUACGGGAGGCAGCAGUGGGGAAUAUUGGACAAUGGGCGAAAGCCUGAUCCAGCCAUGCCGCGUGUGUGAAGAAGGCCUUUUGGUUGUAAAGCACUUUAAGCGAGGAGGAGGCUACUUAGAUUAAUACUCUAGGAUAGUGGACGUUACUCGCAGAAUAAGCACCGGCUAACUCUG